rnacentral:rRNA from 1 species
ACGAACGCUGGCGGCGUGCUUAACACAUGCAAGUCGAACGGGCCCGCCCCUGUUUUUGGGGGUGGGUUGAGUGGCGAACGGGUGAGUAUCACGUGAGUAACCUGCCCCCUGCUCCUGGAUAACUGCUUGAAAGGGCGGCUAAUACGGGGUGUGCCGGCUGGUCCGCAUGGGCCUGGUCGGGAUAGUUUCAUCUUCGGGUGUUUCGGUGGGGGAUGGGCUCGCGGCCUAUCAGCUUGUUGGUGGGGUGAUGGCCCACCAAGGCGGUGACGGGUAGCCGGCCUGAGAGGGUGGGCGGCCACACUGGGACUGAGACACGGCCCAGACUCCUGCGGGAGGCAGCAGUGGGGGGUAUUGCACAAUGGGCGGAAGCCUGAUGCAGCGACGUCGCGUGAGGGAUGGAGGCCUUCGGGUUGUGAACCUCUUUCUCCGGUGGUGAAGGCCCUGUCCGUUGCGGCGGGGUUGACGGUAGCCGGGGAUGAAGCGCCGGCUAACUACGUG